GCGGACGUGGUGGAAUUGGUAGACACACUGGAUUUAGGUUCCAGCGCCGCAAGGUGUAAGAGUUCGAGUCUCUUCGUCCGCA
rfam:Pseudomonas sp. ABAC61 scaffold3_001, whole genome shotgun sequence.